rnacentral:rRNA from 1 species
GUGCUUAACACAUGCAAGUCGAACUUAAAGGCCCUGCUUUUGUGGGGUGCUCGAGUGGCGAACGGGUGAGUAACACGUGAGUAACCUGCCCUUGACUUUGGGAUAACUUCAGGAAACUGGGGCUAAUACCGGAUAGGAGCUCCUGCUGCAUGGUGGGGGUUGGAAAGUUUCGGCGGUUGGGGAUGGACUCGCGGCUUAUCAGCUUGUUGGUGGGGUAGUGGCUUACCAAGGCUUUGACGGGUAGCCGGCCUGAGAGGGUGACCGGCCACAUUGGGACUGAGAUACGGCCCAGACUCCUACGGGAGGCAGCAGUGGGGAAUAUUGCACAAUGGGCGGAAGCCUGAUGCAGCAACGCCGCGUGCGGGAUGACGGCCUUCGGGUUGUAAACCGCUUUCGCCUGUGACGAAGCAUGAGUGACGGUAAUGGGUAAAGAAGCACCGGCUAACUACGUGCCAGCAGCCGCGGUGAUACGUAGGGUGCGAGCGUUGUCCGGAUUUAUUGGGCGUAAAGGGCUCGUAGGUGGUUGAUCGCGUCGGAAGUGUAAUCUUGGGGCUUAACCCUGAGCGUGCUUUCGAUACGGGUUGACUUGAGGAAGGUAGGGGAGAAUGGAAUUCCUGGUGGAGCGGUGGAAUGCGCAGAUAUCAGGAGGGACACCAGUGGCGAAGGCGGUUCUCUGGGCCUUUUCCUGACGCUGAGGAGCGGAAGCGUGGGGAGCGAACAGGCUUAGAUACCCUGGUAGUCCACGCUGUAAACGGUGGGUACUAGGUGUGGGGUCCAUUCCACGGGUUCCGUGCCGUAGCUAACGCUUUAAGUACCCCGCCUGGGGAGUACGGCCGCAAGGCUAAAACUCAAAGGAAUUGACGGGGCCCCGCACAAGCGGCGGAGCAUGCGGAUUAAUUCGAUGCAACGCGUAGAACCUUACCUGGGUUUGACAUGGAUCGGGAGUGCUCAGAGAUGGGUGUGCCUCUUUUGGGGUCGGUUCACAGGUGGUGCAUGGCUGUCGUCAGCUCGUGUCGUGAGAUGUUGGGUUAAGUCCCGCAACGAGCGCAACCCUUGUUCACUGUUGCCAGCACGUUAUGGUGGGGACUCAGUGGAGACCGCCGGGGUCAACUCGGAGGAAGGUGGGGAUGACGUCAAGUCAUCAUGCCCCUUAUGUCCAGGGCUUCACGCAUGCUACAAUGGCUGGUACAGAGAGUGGCGAGCCUGUGAGGGUGAGCGAAUCUCGGAAAGCCGGUCUCAGUUCGGAUUGGGGUCUGCAACUCGACCUCAUGAAGUCGGAGUCGCUAGUAAUCGCAGAUCAGCAACGCUGCGGUGAAUACGUUCCCGGGGCUUGUACACACCGCCCGUCAAGUCAUGAAAGUUGGUAACACCCGAAGCCGGUGGCCUAACCGUUGUGGGGGAGCCGUCGAAGGUGGGACUGGUGAUUAGGACU